rnacentral:rRNA from 1 species
GAUGAACGCUGGCGGCGUGCCUAAUACAUGCAAGUCGAGCGAACGGACGAGAAGCUUGCUUCUCUGAUGUUAGCGGCGGACGGGUGAGUAACACGUGGAUAACCUACCUAUAAGACUGGGAUAACUUCGGGAAACCGGAGCUAAUACCGGAUAAUAUUUUGAACCGCAUGGUUCAAAAGUGAAAGACGGUCUUGCUGUCACUUAUAGAUGGAUCCGCGCUGCAUUAGCUAGUUGGUAAGGUAACGGCUUACCAAGGCAACGAUGCAUAGCCGACCUGAGAGGGUGAUCGGCCACACUGGAACUGAGACACGGUCCAGACUCCUACGGGAGGCAGCAGUAGGGAAUCUUCCGCAAUGGGCGAAAGCCUGACGGAGCAACGCCGCGUGAGUGAUGAAGGUCUUCGGAUCGUAAAACUCUGUUAUUAGGGAAGAACAUAUGUGUAAGUAACUGUGCACAUCUUGACGGUACCUAAUCAGAAAGCCACGGCUAACUACGUGCCAGCAGCCGCGGUAAUACGUAGGUGGCAAGCGUUAUCCGGAAUUAUUGGGCGUAAAGCGCGCGUAGGCGGUUUUUUAAGUCUGAUGUGAAAGCCCACGGCUCAACCGUGGAGGGUCAUUGGAAACUGGAAAACUUGAGUGCAGAAGAGGAAAGUGGAAUUCCAUGUGUAGCGGUGAAAUGCGCAGAGAUAUGGAGGAACACCAGUGGCGAAGGCGACUUUCUGGUCUGUAACUGACGCUGAUGUGCGAAAGCGUGGGGAUCAAACAGGAUUAGAUACCCUGGUAGUCCACGCCGUAAACGAUGAGUGCUAAGUGUUAGGGGGUUUCCGCCCCUUAGUGCUGCAGCUAACGCAUUAAGCACUCCGCCUGGGGAGUACGACCGCAAGGUUGAAACUCAAAGGAAUUGACGGGGACCCGCACAAGCGGUGGAGCAUGUGGUUUAAUUCGAAGCAACGCGAAGAACCUUACCAAAUCUUGACAUCCUUUGACAACUCUAGAGAUAGAGCCUUCCCCUUCGGGGGACAAAGUGACAGGUGGUGCAUGGUCGUCGUCAGCUCGUGUCGUGAGAUGUUGGGUUAAGUCCCGCAACGAGCGCAACCCUUAAGCUUAGUUGCCAUCAUUAAGUUGGGCACUCUAAGUUGACUGCCGGUGACAAACCGGAGGAAGGUGGGGAUGACGUCAAAUCAUCAUGCCCCUUAUGAUUUGGGCUACACACGUGCUACAAUGGACAAUACAAAGGGCAGCGAAACCGCGAGGUCAAGCAAAUCCCAUAAAGUUGUUCUCAGUUCGGAUUGUAGUCUGCAACUCGACUACAUGAAGCUGGAAUCGCUAGUAAUCGUAGAUCAGCAUGCUACGGUGAAUACGUUCCCGGGUCU